AUGGAUUUCCACCGCUUCCUUGUGGCCAUGCUGCUCCCUGUGGGCUGGGCCCUUCAGCAGUCACCAGAUACACUUGUCCGGGUGGGAGACACCGUCACUCUGCAAUGUUCUGCAUCAGGGAAAACAUUUGUAACCAUGUACUGGUACAAGUUACCCAUGGAGAAGGAUGCCAGAAUGCAGUUGGUUGUAUAUUCAGUAGAAGGUGGCAAAGCAGAUCUUGAGAAGGAAUUCCAAAAUCGCUUCCAGAGCAAUGGCACUAGGAACAACCAUUUAGCUGUGAAGAUACAGCAUGCCCUACUCAAUGACACAGGCACAUAUUUCUGUGCUGAACAAGAUCCACAGUGACUCAAAGGCUGCAGGAGACUGCCCAGGUGAGCCACAGAAUGUCCCUGGUGACCAGGACAAGGACCAGGAGGAAGAAAUCCGAGAUGAGGAGCAAGCAGACCUCGUCAGAAUGGCCUGUCACUCCUUCCCUGUGUCCCUUUCACCCCUUGCCACUGUCCCAGAUGUUAUUUAUCCCUGUGCUU